CUGGGUUGAUAGGCCGGAUCUGGAAGCACCGUGAGGUGUGGAGGUGACCGGUACUAAUAGGCCGAGGGCUUGUCCU
rnacentral:rRNA from 1 species